UAGAUGAGGCGUGAUGACGAGGCUCUUCGGAGCCGAAGCGAGUGAUACCCAGCUUCCAGGAAAAGCCUCUAAGCUUCAGUCUAAGAGUGACCGUACCGCAAACCGACACAGGUGGGCUGGUAGAGAAUACCAAGGCGCUUGAGAGAACUCAGGAGAAGGAACUCGGCAAAUUGAUACCGUAACUUCGGGAGAAGGUAUGCCCCUGGUACGUGAAGGCCCUCGCGGCCGGAGCGGAACGGGGUCGCAGAGAAUCGGUGGCUGCGACUGUUUAUUAAAAACACAGCACUCUGCAAACACGAAAGUGGACAUAUAGGGUGUGACGCCUGCCCGGUGCCGGAAGGUUAAGUGAUGGGGUGCAAGCUCUUGAUCGAAGCCCCGGUAAACGGCGGCCGUAACGAUAACGGUCCUAAGGUAGCGAAAUUCCUUGUCGGGUAAGUUCCGACCUGCACGAAUGGCGUAACGAUGGCCACACUGUCUCCUCCUGAGACUCAGCGAAGUUGAAAUGUUUGUGAAGAUGCAAUCUCCCCGCGGCUAGACGGAAAGACCCCAUGAACCUUUACUGUAGCUUUGCAUUGGACUUUGACGGGACUUGUGUAGGAUAGGUGGGAGGCUAUGAAACCGGGACGCCAGUUCCGGUGGAGCCAUCCUUGAGAUACCACCCUGGUGUCGUCGAGGUUCUAACCCAGGCCUGUGAAUCCAGGUCGGGGACCGUGCAUGGUGGGCAGUUUGACUGGGGCGGUCUCCUCCCAAAAGGUAACGGAGGAGUACGAAGGUCACCUAGGUACGGUCUGACAUCGUACUGAUAGUGCAAUGGCAAAAGGUGGCUUGACUGCGAGACCCACACGUCGAGCAGGUGCGAAAGCAGGUCAUAGUGAUCCGGUGGUUCUGUAUGGAAGGGCCAUCGCUCAACGGAUAAAAGGUACUCUGGGGAUAACAGGCUGAUUCCGCCCAAGAGUUCACAUCGACGGCGGAGUUUGGCACCUCGAUGUCGGCUCAUCACAUCCUGGGGCUGUAGCCGGUCCCAAGGGUAUGGCUGUUCGCCAUUUAAAGUGGUACGUGAGCUGGGUUUAAAACGUCGUGAGACAGUUUGGUCCCUAUCUGCCGUGGGCGCUGGAAGUUUGAGAGGGCCUGCUCCUAGUACGAGAGGACCGGAGUGGACGCACCCCUGGUGUACCGGUUGUGACGCCAGUCGCAUCGCCGGGUAGCUAUGUGCGGAAGAGAUAACCGCUGAAAGCAUCUAAGCGGGAAACUCGCCUCAAGAUGAGACUUCCCCGGGGCCUCGAGCCCCCUGAAGGGUCGUUGAAGACCACAACGUUGAUAGGCCGGGUGUGUAAGCGUGGCAACACGUUCAGCUAACCGGUACUAAUUGCCCGUGUAGCUUGAUC
rnacentral:rRNA from 1 species